GUCAUAUCYYGCACAGCAGAACAACCCGAGAACCGGUUAACAACCACUUUGGAGACUGGGGCACGUCCUCUGCGCUCCCAAAUCCMGUCUCCGUGGGCAGCCCCCCCAUGGGGGGUCCAUGGAUUCGGGCAAUAACGAAACCCGGCACGGAAUGUGCCAAGGAAAUCGAAUAAGAGAAGCGCUGUCCCCCAGCCCCCGUUCGCGGGGUGUCUCGGGAUCACGCGCCAUCUUUUCUAUCAAUAUC
rnacentral:misc_RNA from 1 species